rnacentral:snoRNA from 1 species
UGGGCCAUUGCAAUCCAAUGGUGAACUAUGACUUAAGCCCAGUUUAGGAAACAAGGUUGUUCUUCAUGUGGAUGACUGUGACAACACAUGGGAACAGCC